AACCUAGAGACGGGCCGAGGCGGCUCUUCGCCCGGAUGCGAGAGCCACCAAGGGGAAGCCGGUGACCGCACACGCGGAAGUCCGGCGCUGUCCCGCAACUGUGAGGGUCGCCCGCCCAGCGGCGUGACCCAAGCCAGGAUACCCACCUCCGCCCGGCGCUGAGA
rnacentral:ncRNA from 2 species